UACGUAGGGGGCAAGCGUUGUCCGGAUUCAUUGGGCGUAAAGAGCGUGUAGGCGGCCAGGUAGGUCUGCUGUGAAAACUCGAGGCUCAACCUCGAGACGUCGGCGGAAACCAUGUGGCUAGAGUCCGGAAGAGGAGAGUGGAAUUCCUGGUGUAGCGGUGAAAUGCGCAGAUAUCAGGAAGAACACCCGUGGCUAAGGCGGCUCUCUAGUACGGUACUGACGCUGAGACGCGAAAGCGUGGGGAGCGAACAGG
rnacentral:rRNA from 1 species